rnacentral:tRNA from 1 species
GGUUCCGUGGUGUAGUUGGUUAUCACAACAGUCUAACACACUGUAGGUCUCCGGUUCGAUCCCGGACGGAACCA